rnacentral:rRNA from 1 species
UACGUAGGGUGCAAGCGUUGUCCGAAAUUAUUGGGCGUAAAGAGCUCGUAGGCGGUUUGUUGCGUCGGCUGUGAAAUCCCGAGGCUCAACUCCGGGCCUGCAUUCGAUACGGGCAGACUAGAGUUCGGUAGGGGAGACUGGAAUUCCUGGUGUAGCGGUGAAAUGCGCAGAUAUCAGGAGGAACACCGGUGGCGAAGGCGGGUCUCUGGGCCGAUACUGACGCUGAGGAGCGAAAGCGUGGGGAGCAAACAGG